AUGCUCCAAGAAAUAAGGAUCUUGACCCUCUCCCUGAGACCAUAAUUUUGAUGCAGGACAUCAAGAUUAUGAGCUUGGGAACCGGGUUGGGAUACAAAAUCAUCUACCAGCU
rnacentral:precursor_RNA from 9 species